AACGUAGGACGCAAGCGUUAUCCGGAGUUACUGGGCGUAAAGCGCGGGCAGGCGGCUUCGCAAGUCUGGUGUGAAAUCUCUCGGCUCAACCGGGAGAAGCCACUGGAAACUACGGAGCUGGAGUCUGGCAGAGGUAGGCGGAAUUCCGGGUGGAGUGGUGAAAUGCGUAGAGAUCCGGAGGAACACCAGAGGCGAAGGCGGCCUACUGGGCCAGUACUGACGCUGAGCCGCGAAAGCCAGGGGAGCGAACGGG
rnacentral:rRNA from 1 species